GAUGAACGCUGGCGGCGUGCCUAAUACAUGCAAGUCGAGCGAACAGACGAGGAGCUUGCUCCUCUGACGUUAGCGGCGGACGGGUGAGUAACACGUGGAUAACCUACCUAUAAGACUGGGAUAACUUCGGGAAACCGGAGCUAAUACCGGAUAAUAUAUUGAACCGCAUGGUUCAAUAGUGAAAGACGGUUUUGCUGUCACUUAUAGAUGGAUCCGCGCCGCAUUAGCUAGUUGGUAAGGUAACGGCUUACCAAGGCAGCGAUGCGUAGCCGACCUGAGAGGGUGAUCGGCCACACUGGAACUGAGACACGGUCCAGACUCCUACGGGAGGCAGCAGUAGGGAAUCUUCCGCAAUGGGCGAAAGCCUGACGGAGCAACGCCGCGUGAGUGAUGAAGGUCUUCGGACCGUAAAACUCUGUUAUUAGGGAAGAACAAAUGUGUAAGUAACUAUGCACGUCUUGACGGUACCUAAUCAGAAAGCCACGGCUAACUACGUG
rnacentral:rRNA from 1 species